CCUACGGGAGGCAGCAGUGAGGAAUUUUGGUCAAUGGGCGCGAGCCUGAACGAGUAAAGCAGCGUGAAGGAUGAAUGCCCUACGGGUUGUAAACUUCUUUUAUAAAGGAAUACAGUGAGGCACGUGUGCAUUUUUGUAUGUACUUUAUGAAUAAGGAUCGGCUAACUCUGUGUCAGCAGCCGCGGUAAUACGGAGGAUCCGAGCGGUAGCCGGAUUUAUUGGGUUUAAAGGGAGCGUAGAUGGGUUGUUAAGUCAGUUGUGAAAGUUUGCGGCUCAAACGUAAAAUUGCAAUGGAUACUGGCAGCCUUGAGUGCAGUUGAGGUAGGCGGAAUUCGAGGUGUAGCGGUGAAAUGCGUAGAUAUAACGGAGAACUCCGAUGGCGAAGGCAGCUCACUAAACUGCCACUGACAUUGAUGCUCGAAAGUGUGGGUAGCAAACAGGAUUAGAUACCCCAGUAGUC
rnacentral:rRNA from 1 species